rnacentral:rRNA from 1 species
GAUGAACGCUGGCGGCGUGCCUAACACAUGCAAGUCGAGCGGCAGCGAGGGGUGCUUGCACCCUGUCGGCGAGCGGCGGACGGCUGAGUAACGCGUGGGAACGUGCCCCAAAGUGAGGAAUAACUGCCCGAAAGGGUAGCUAAUACCGCAUAUUAUCUUCGGAUCAAAGGAUUUAUCCGCUUUGGGAGCGGCUCGCGUCGGAUUAGGUAGUUGGUGAGGUAAUGGCUCACCAAGCCGACGAUCCGUAGCUGGUCUGAGAGGAUGACCAGCCAGACUGGAACUGAGACACGGUCCAGACUCCUACGGGAGGCAGCAGUGAGGAAUCUUCCACAAUGGGCGAAAGCCUGAUGGAGCAGCGCCGCGUGCAGGACGAAGGCCUUCGGGUUGUAAACUGCUUUUAUAAGUGAGGAAUAUGACGGUAACUUAUGAAUAAGGAUCGGCUAACUACGUG